rnacentral:lncRNA from 1 species
GUUAUUCAAGAAAACUAAUAAAUCUUUACCCACAAGUUAUGUUAAAUAAUAAAAUAAAAUUAUCAUCCGACUCACUGUGAAAAAUAAUGGAUUGAAGUUCAAUGUGGUAUCUGGAUUAUGGAUUGUCUCUUGUGUUCGGGGCACUAACUAAUUUUCUGGAUUGUCUACAGGAUUCUUCUUACGGGAACUUGAACUGUUUGUUCUUCGGAAAUAGGGUCUUGGAAUGGUCUCGAAGAAGUAUCGGUAGUUCUUGGAAUAGGUUGUAGGAUGAUUCUCUUUUAUUUUAAUAUUACAUACAUUGGAGUACACGCCAAAUUUCAAUAAUGAGUAAAGUUAGAAAAAUUCAAAUUUAAAUCAAGGAUUUCUUCCUCAAAAUAACGUUAAAACCUCAAAAGAUGGAUGAAAAAUGUGCUUUAGGAGCUGAACUGUAAUAAUUGAUACUUUUGGAAGUAAACAAAACGGUUUAAGAUAAGAUUUUCACCAACA